rnacentral:rRNA from 1 species
UACGAAGGGGGGCAAGCGUUGUUCGGAUUUACUGGGCGUAAAGGGCGCGUAGGCGGAUUUGCAAGUCAGAGGUGAAAGCCCUGGGCUCAACCCGGGAAUGGCCUUUGAGACUGCAAGUCUUGAGUGCGAGAGAGGGUGGCGGAAUACCCAGUGUAGAGGUGAAAUUCGUAGAUAUUGGGUAGAACACCAGUGGCGAAGGCGGCCACCUGGCUCGCAACUGACGCUGAGGCGCGAAAGCGUGGGGAGCAAACAGG